rnacentral:lncRNA from 1 species
AGGUUUGUGAUCUUGAUGUAGCAAAGCGAUUCUUUUCAUCUUCGGCGAGCCCAGGGGAUGGACUCAUCCUAGUGCUCAUGGUCUGAACCUGCCGUGUUCUUGGCUUUUCGUGGGAGGCUGCAUUGCGGAUUGAGGGAGAGUGUCCAACCGUGGCAAUGGAAGGGACUGGGUACUUGCUGGAUUUUUUGGUGCCACCCUUUAGAAGCAGGUAUUAUUGGCUCUGCUUUGCAGAUGAAAAAAACUGAGGUUGAGGUGGGCUAAGUGUAUCCAUCAGGCCGGACAGAAAACAUGACCCAUCAAUGUGGCCCCAACCUUGGUGACACCUUAGAAUAGCAGUGAUUCAUUUGGUCUCAGAUCUUGAUGUGUGACUAGCUGCAGCCACCCGCACCUUCACAGACAUAAAAACCGCCAGACCCCUGACACGCCCAUGAAGACACACCCAAAGAUGUCUUUGGAGAUCCCCGGGCAACAGGGACACUGGCAUUUCUUUGCAUCUCCGUGCCCCAAUCCUGGACCUGUUCUGGUGCACAGGAAGCUGGUUACGAAGGGAUGCAGUGGAGAUGGUUUGCAGAAAGAACACCAAGUUUGCCGGACUCCGUGUUAUGGAGAUAUUUUGUACUUCUGGGGAUGGAGGCUGGAGCAUGCCCAGGAGACCACAUAGUCAUGAGCAUUCACAAUUACCCAGCAAUUAACAUGUGCUGGGAACCCUGCCCAGUGAGAGCUGACAGAUCUUCUGUCAUUUAUUUUUCCCAAGCCUGUGAGGUAAGCGCUAACAGUAGGCCCAUUCUACAGAUGAGGGAACUGAGGCUCAGUGAAGUCAACGGCUCAAGGGUGCAUGGCUGGGAGGACACAGAAACAGGGCUCUUGCCUGUGUGCCAGGUGGGGACUCGCCCCUCCUCUCGUCCCUGUGCCUGUGGUCAGCUAAGAGGAGCCCAAGGCUCUGGAGUGGGACAGGGGAUAGCGUUUGGCUGUGUUGUUUGCUCACUGCUCUGAGAACCAGCAGAAGGGCUGAGCUGAAAACUUCACUCCUCCUUGCCAAGCUGUGUGCCUUGAAGAAGAUAUGCCUUUGGGGUUCGAAGUGGCCCUGGAGCCAGCCCUAUCUGGCAGUCCUGCUUUGCUACUUGCUAGUAAGUUAUUCAGUCUCUUGGAGUCUCAGAUUUCUCAUCCCUUAAAUGAGCUAAUAACACCGAGGUGGUGGUGAGGGUUAAAUGGGAUGAGGUCAUGUAUCUGCAGUGCCUGGCACAUCACUGGAAAAACAGCAAGCACCGAUUGAGCCCUCAGAGCCUGACACGUACAAACUCCUGCAAUUCUUCCUGCAAGCCUCUGGCGGGAACUGCUACCAACCUAAUUUUACAGGUGGGGCAUCUGGGCCACAGAGAGGUGGAGUAGUUUGCCCAACCUCACGCAGCUCUAAGUGGUAGAGCUGGCAGGCAGACCCAGGCAGUUUGGCACCAGAGUCCAUUUUCAAGGCACCAUUCUCAUCUUUCUCAGUGGCAGGUCCUCAGCAAUAGGGUUAGAAGGCUGCUGCCAUUCAGAUAGCACAGACAAGACAGAGGUGAGAGUUGGCAUUGGAUUCUGUAAAAGCGUUGGCCACUGGUGCAUUUUUUUGUACAACCCCAGGGGUACCAUCCACAGCGAUUCUCGGAGUCAUGCUCUAGAAUGUCGCACUGGAGUUGUGUAGCAUGUGCUCUUGAGAUCCAGCCUAUGUGUGGCCUGGGAAAUGGGAGUCAUGAAUCCAGUCACUGGCAUGGCUGUCAUUCAUCUGGCUGGGUGACUCCCAGCAGGUCCCCAUGUUCUCUGGGCUUUAUUUCCUCACUUACUCAAUGGGAGUUGGCUUCAGUGAUGGCCAAAAGCCGUUUGGUCACUACAUGCUGUGGAUCUCUGCCAUUUGGACUUAGAGACAGUACCACUGAAACAUGCCUGACCACACACCUCUUCAAGAGUCCAAACUUUGAUUCUAAAAGGGCACAUGCUUUGCUUUCUUCAGAGGCUGAGUCGGGGCCUCAUCUCCGGUGCGCAGAGCAUGAAGAUGUUACUUUCUUUUGGUGGAAGCCAUUUUGGUUUCCCAUACCCGGCGACCGGAAGAAUUCUGGAGGGAGUCUCUAAUUGCAGGUGGAGGCCAGAGCUACGUGGAAAUGCUGCCUUUUGGGAUUUCCUGUAAUGCAGUUACGUGCCUCCAAGAAGAACAACGGUGGCUGCAAAGACCAGAACGACUUCACGGCACCGUGUGUAGUUUUCAGUUCCUGGCUUUUGGCAUGUUGGAGAGAGACCUGUGCUUAUUGGAUGGAGUGAGAAACUAAUACCCAUCCAGGCCUGCUGUUCCAAACUUUUUCAGUUGGGUCUUUUCCUUAGCCCUGCGAUUAGCACGGGAUGAAUUCAUCUGCUUUUUGGACUCACUGACCAUCUCAGACUGUUUUUAACAUGCUUGGGGUUUGAUAAAACUGGAAAGAU